UACGAAGGGGGCUAGCGUUGUUCGGAAUUACUGGGCGUAAAGCGCACGCAGGCGGCUUAUCAAGUCAGAGGUGAAAUCCCGGGGCUCAACCCCGGAACUGCCUUUGAAACUGGUAAGCUAGAGUCCGAGAGAGGGUAGUGGAAUUCCUAGUGUAGCAGUGAAAUGCGUAGAUAUUAGGAGGAACACCGGUGGCGAAGGCGGCUACCUGGCUCGGUACUGACGCUCAUGUGCGAAAGCGUGGGGAGCAAACAGG
rnacentral:rRNA from 1 species